rnacentral:rRNA from 1 species
ACGUAGGGCGUGAGCGUUGUCCGGAUUUAUUGGGCGUAAAGAGCUCGUAGGCGGCUCGUUGCGUCGGCUGUGAAAACCCGCAGCUCAACUGUGGGCUUGCAGCUGAUACGGGCGGGCUGGGAUUCGGUAGGGGAGACUGGAAUUCCUGGUGUAGCGGUGAAGUGCGCAGAUAUCGUGAGGAACACCAGAGGCGAAGGCGGUUACCUGGACAGUUACUGACGCUCAGGCACGAAAGCAUGGGGAGCAAAAGGGA